rnacentral:tRNA from 1 species
GCUUCUAAAGGACAGCAGCCGUCCGCUGGUCUUAGGAACCAGAAUCUCUUGGUGCAAAUCCAAGUAGUAGCU